rnacentral:lncRNA from 1 species
AUAAUUUAAAAGUUUGAGGAUCACUGUGUGUUACUUUAUAUAAAUAUAUCUUUCUUUUUAUAGGAUAUUAGACAUUUCUUAUAUUAUUGUAUACUAUAUUAGUUUCCUUACCAAUUCACGAUUCAUCAUGUAUUAGCUUAACCUCUCUUUAUAUAAAGAGGUCUUUUGUAAUUUAUCAAAUCAAAAAGAAAUAUAUUUCUUCUCCAAUUAUCCUUUGUUUUCAUGGUAUCAGAGCGCGACUAACUUAAUCCGCAAAAGCUUGUCGUCACAAGCUCGCCGUCGGUAUCUCUCGACCUGGUUCUGUCAUGACAUCCGCACCUCCAUCGAUGCCACCUGUACAGGUUCCUACAUCGGCACCUCCAUCGAUGCCGCCUGUACAGGUUCCUACACUAACUAUUGCUCAGCUCGAUGUUAAACUCUCUGGGCCUAAUUAUUGUGAAUGGUUGGUGUCCAUUCAACUCUUGUUUGAUGCUCUCGAUAUUACUGGACAUAUUGAUGGUGCUGGUCCACCAACCGAUGAUUCCAAACUCCAGGACUGGCUUGUUGCUGAUCGACGUGCUCGCGGAAUUAUUUCUACAUCGGUAAACAUAGACAUUCAGAUGCAGCUUAUCAAUUUGUCCACCGCUCACCAGAUGUGGUCUCCUCUUCGACAAAUGUAUGAGCAGUCUAGUUAUGCUCAAUCGUAUGCUAAGUUUCAAGAGAUCUCCAUGGCUCAUCAAGGUGAGCGUAGUAUCCAAGAGUUUUACAGUUUUAUGUAGGCUCGUUGGCGUCAACUAGCGACCAUGGAUGAACCCUUGUGUCGCACUUGCUCAACUUGUCAGUGUACUGUCAAGCAAAAGUAGGUGCGUGAUCAACAACGAUUGUUCCAGUUUCUUAUGCGCCUACGACCUGAGUUUGAAGCGUUACAUGGCCAACUACUCCAUCGAACUCCCUUCCCUACUAUUGAUGUGGCUCUCGCGGAAUUGAUUGCUGAGGAGACACGUCUUCGAGUUUGGAGUUCCUCUGCUUUUGCAAUGCCUAAUGUUCUUGCUGCUCAUGGUCCUACCAAUCCACCUUCUGUGCCAGCGCCUACUUCUCAUCAUCAACCGCCUUCUAGUUACUUUCCAAAUCCUAGUACUAGAAAAGACAAACGGAGCAUUCAAUGUCGUUACUGUCAUCUUUGGAGCCACUCAAUUCAAGAUUGCCGGAAAAAGAAAUGGGCAGAUCAGCAUUUACGAUCCUCUUGUAAUAUGCCUACUGUUGCAUCUGCUCUUUCUGUUCCUCCGGUCAACAACGCAUCAUCUAUAAAGCAGCAACCUUCAACUAUUAAAUUGAGUCUUCCUCAACUGCUGCAGAUGUUUUAGCAACACCAGUUGACUCUAUCUACUUUGUCAGGGCAGUCCUCCUCUAUCUUUCCAUCUACGCCAUCAGGUUUUGGUAUGACUGGUCCUGGAGGUACUUCGGAAAAUUCCUAGAUUUUAGACUCAGGCGCAUUAUUUCAUAUGACACAACAUGCUUCUUUACUUUCUUCACCUUCUCAAUUAAAUUCACCUUCACACAUAUUUACUGCUGAUGGUACCUCUCUUUCUGUCAAUAAUAGUGGCGCUGUUUCACCUAAAUCUGAUACUUCAGGACGCUUUACUAUUCCCUCUGUCCUACAUAUACCACGACUCUCUCUUAACUUAUUAUCUUUUAGCCAAAUUAUUGAUCAUGAUUGCAGAGUGACCUUUGAUUUUUCUUCUUGUCGUGUGCAGAAUCGUCGGACAGGGACUUUGAUUAGACAGGGUCAUAGACAUGACUGCCUAUACUACAUGGACUAUCUGCACCUUUCUUCUAAAAUUAACUCAGCAAAUAUUGCUACAACUUCAAAUUCUGAUCUAUGGCAUCGUCGUCUAGGUCAUCUAUCUUCUGAUAAGUUUACUGUUUUAGUUCGUAGUGGUGUAUUAGGCCCUGUUUUUAAUUUCGAAUCUGUUGUUUUCAUUGGAUGCAAACUUGCUAAACAUUCCAUUAAACCUUUUCUUGUUAGCAAUUCUGUUUCAAGUGCACCAUUUGAUCUUAUUCACUCUGAUGUUUGGGGACCGGCACCUAUAUCAACCCGUGUUGGAAAUAAAUAUUAUGUUAUUUUCAUUGACGAUUACUCACGCUUUACCUGGGUUUAUUUUAUGCAUAACAAAUAUGAACUUUUUCAAUUGUAUCAAAAUUUCUCCGCCAUGGUUCAAACUCAAUUUGGUGCCACUAUUAAAACUUUCCGCUCUGAUUCUGGUGGCGAGUAUCUUUCAAAUGAAUUUCGCCAACUUCUCGCUAAACAUGGUACUUUGCCGCAACUCUCUUGUCCUUAUACUCCUCAACAGAAUGGUGUUACUGAGCAUAAACACCGACAUAUCCUUGAAACCGCUCGAUCUCUUCUAAUUGAUGGGUCCGUGCCUAAACAAUUUUGGGCUGAUGCGAUUUCUACCGCAAUUUAUUUGAUUAAUAUUAUGCACUCCAGUCUUUUCUCUGGCUUUUCUCCUAGUGAGCAAUUGUAUGCUAAAUCACUAUUUUAUACUCAUUUGCGUGCUUUUGGAUGUCCUUGUCUUGUUGUCUUGUUCUCUUGCCUCCGCAUGAACGAACCAAACUAACUUCGAAAUCAUCAAUUUGUGUUUUCUUAAUUAGGAUAUAGUCUUAAGCAUAAAGGGUAUAGAUGUUAUGAUCCUACUGCUCGUCGCAUGCGAAUCUCUCAAGAUGUCAUUUUUCUUAAACAUUUAUCAUAUUAUGCUCAAUCUAAGUUAAGUGUUGAUCCCUCUGCUGUUUCUUCACCUUCUGUUAUUGAUCUUUCAUUUCUUGUUAAUUCUUCGUCGACCACCACAUCUUCUCCCGAAGAGCCCCAACGCAUUGUCUCUCAGCCCACUGCAUCUUCGUCUUCUGUAGAAGUUUCUAUAGUACCGGCACCUCCUGACGACCCACCAAUUAUUGUUCCUUCUGACGAUCAGACGACUACUGAGCGCCGUUAUCCACUGACUUACCGCCCCACACAAUUUUUUGGUUGUCUUGCCGCUCCUUCUUUUUCUCCACGAUAUCAUGCUUUUCUUGCAGCUAUUUCUAAUAUCCAGGAACCACGUACAUAUCGCAAGGCCGUUUCUAUUCCUAAAUGGCGAGAUGCAAUGACCACAGAACUUACUGCCCUUCAUCGUACUGGUACCUGGGAACUAGUUCCUCUCCCGCCUAGCAAGACUCCAAUCAGUUGUAAGUGGAUUUAUAAAGUCAAGACAAAGUCUGAUGGUUCAAUUGAUAGCUAUAAGGCUCGUUUAGUUGCUCGAGGGUUCUCUCAAGAAUAUGACAUUGAUUAUGAGGAGACAUUCGCCCCUGUUGCUAAGAUAAUCUCUGUUCGCAUCCUUAUUGCUCUUGCUGCUUCUCGUAGUUGGCCUCUUUACCAACUUGAUGUAAAAAUGCCUUCUUACAUGGGGAUCUUCAUGAAGAAGUUUAUAUGCAACCACCUCAUGUUCUUUCUCAUUCAUCCGGUCAUGUUUGUCGGCUUCGGAAGGCUUUAUAUGGCCUUAAACAAGCUCCCCGAGCUUGGUUUGAAAAAUUUAAGCAUGCUAUUCUUUCUUUUGGAUUUCAUUAAAGCGAAAAUGAUAAUGCCUUAUUUAUUCAUACUUCUACUCGCGGGCUCACUGCGUUAUUUUUAUAUGUUGAUGAUAUGAUAAUUACUGGCGAUGAUUUCGAUUGUAUUCGUUCCGUUAAAUCCUGUCUCCAGCAACAAUUUGACAUGAAAGAUCUUGGCCCUCUUCGAUAUUUUUUGGGGAUUGAAGUGGCAUAUAGUCCUCGAGGAUAUAUAUUGUCUCAACAAAAAUACACUGCUGACUUGCUAUCUCGUGCUGAGCUCACAGAUAAUGGCACUGUGAGUAUUCCUAUGCAGCUUCACCAAAAACUAACUCCAACUAUGGGCAAACCUCUCACUAAUCCUACGCGUUAUCGUGAGCUAGUUGGUGCGUCAGUCUAUCUCACUAUAUCUCGCCCCGACAUUGCUUAUGCGGUUUAUAUUGUUAGUCAAUUUAUACAGGCGCCUACUUCUGUUCACUAUACUGCUCUUUUACGUAUCUUGCGCUAUUUGCGAGGAAGUAUUCAUCAAAGUCUAUUCUUUUCUUCCUCUUCCAAGCCUCAACUUCAUGCCUAUUGUGAUGUUGAUUGGGCUGGAAAUCCUACUGAUCGUCGGUCUACGACUGGCUAUUGCGUUUUCUUUAGAGAUUCUCUGAUUUCUUGGAGUUCAAAGAAAUAAGAUAUUGUCGCCAAAUCUAAUACGGAAGCUGAAUAUUGUGCUAUGUCCUCUGUCGCCUCAGAAAUUGUAUGGAUUCGCCGACUCCUUGGUGAUUUCGGUGUCCAGUGCUCUACUUCCACACCUUUAUAUUGUGACAAUCAAAGUGCUAUCAAAAUUGCGAAUAAUUCUGUCUUCCAUGAACAUACUAAACAUAUCGAAAUUGAUUGUCACUUUGUGCGCUAUCAUUAUAUUAAUGGAUCGAUAUCUCUGCCGUUCGUUCCCUCUGCUGAACAACUUGCUGAUUUUUUCACCAAAUCUCAGACUACUCAACGACAUCAAUACCUUCUAUCCAAACUCUCAUUGUUUACUCCACCUUGAGUUUGCGGGGGUGUGUUACUUUAAAUAAAUAUUUCUUUUUUUUUACAGGAUAUUAGACAUUCCUUAUAUUAUUAUAUACUAUAUUAGUUUCCUUACCAAUUCAUAAUUCACCAUGUAUUAGCUUGAUCUCUCUUUAUAUAAAGAGGUCUUUUAUAAUUUAUCAAAUAAAAAAGAAAUAUAUUUCUUCUCCAAUUAUCCUUUGUUUUUACUGUGAAACCUUUUUUUCUUUUUUUUUUUGAGAGAGAGAGAGAGAGAGAGAGAGAAAGAAUGUGGGGAGCUUAGCAUCCUACACUAGAAUUCGAAUCGAUCCAUGAUCCUUCCACACCCUAGCUACUCAGAUGCCAAGCCUUACUAUUAGGAUACCUACGAGUAAUAGUUUAUGGCUGGUGGUGGUGCGAUGCAUCUGUAUGGAGUGAAACAAUUAAUAGAUGUAGUAUACCAUCAACUAUAUGUGUAAUAUCUCUCAGAAUUAAAGCUGGUAAAAGAUAUGGAGGGAUCGUCGAUCGUCAAUGGUAGAGCAGUGUUGGUGGCGAAGCAUUUCUGAUCAUGUUGCCUCCCAUUCAUGGAAAGGCUCUGCAUGCAGUGGCUGAAAGUUGCCCUCCCCAUUAAUUGCCUCCUGCCUUUAUGCAAAGUGGCCGGCAAGAGCUAAGAUCAUCACCAAAUGUUCAAUUCAUUGCAGUCAAAUCAUUCACGCAAUAAGAAUGCAGGAUUGAGUUCCAUUAAUAUUGUACUUAAAUUCUACAACAGUAUGUAUGCGUGUUUUGGAUAUCUGAACAAGUUAUCUUCUGAUAAUAUAACUUAGUAAAAACGUACAGAACUUAUCUAAAUUUUAGACCAUUUUAAGUUGGUUGUCCAAUUUAUCAAAAUUUUAAUUUUACUAUCCAACAUUUCAAUUUGUUUAAUUUGAGUUUGUCAACGACAAUAAUUUGAUUUUAAAAUUUGAAUCUAUUAUUUAUUUUUACUGAUUUAAUUAGCAUAUUUCAUACAAUUCUAGCUUGUAAUUAUAAAUUUACUAAAAUAAUUUGCUAAAUUUUGAAUUUGAAGUUUUGUUGACUAAUUCGAAUCAAACAAGUUAAAAGAUUGGAUAGCAAAUUAAAAUUUUAAAAGAAUAAAUACCAGACUCAAAAUAGUCCAUAAUUCAAGUAUGUUCUAUGCGUUUUUAAAAUAAUGACGAUUUAGCUCUUUUAGCCCUUUACGAGACGUUAGUACAGUCAGAAUUCGUCAGAACGGUGUUUUCCACUAACAAGAUAAUUUAUUAUAUUUAAAGAAAAUAAUUUGAAAAUCGAAUAUAAUUUGCGUAACAGAUAUCUAGUCAUACGCCUCUAAUUAUACCCUUCAUCUACCAACUAUUACCCUGGUAACUACUGAGUAAAUAAAAACGAUAUGCUAGUAAAAUAUUCAUGCAUUCAAACAAGGCGAAGAGAUUGAAAUAUUGUAUAUUGCUCCAACUAAUUAAGCUAGGUGCACAUUUUUUCUGGAGAAUGAUCCUGCCGUAAUAUGCCAGGAAGAACUCUGGCAAGUAUUUUAGGAUCUCAUAAUGCCUCCCUACUUACUUUCGGAUAACUCUGCUAAGUUAUUGUCUCUCUAAUGAAUAAAAUUAUUCGGAUAAAUUUGCUCAAUCACUUAAUUAUUCCUGAAUAAUUCUCUUCAGCUGCAGUUUCAGCAUCAAUCUUGGGUUGCAUGGUCUCCUUUGCUCUCCUCUCUUCCUUCAGGAACAAAGCCGCUUGAAAAUAAAACAGCUGCCCUAAGACCAGUUUCGUAUAUAUUGAGAGCCACCUAAAAUUAUCCGCCCAAAAGAAGUUGGGACUGAAACGCAGCCACAAAAAUCAUAUUUUAAGCAAAUUAGUGUUGCAUGCAUUGUUGGCUUAAACGGGUCAGCAUUAUACCCGGUGGCGCGAGGUCGGAUUGAGCUGAGUUGCGUUCGAAAUGGCGUGAGGCUGGGUUGGACCGAGUCAUUUUUGAAGUGGUGUGAGGUUGGUUGAACCGAAUCACAAUAAAAAAUCGUCGGCGCUGUAUCUGUACGUUUUAAAUGAAUUGGUUGCGUAUUUCUAACACCGCGAGUUUUUGGGAUUAAUAGUUAGCGCCAACAAUCCGACAAGCGGUAUCAGAGUCAAAGAUCAAUAAUUCGAUUCCAGCAUGCUGCAAAUUUGUGCAGGUGUUGAAAGGAGGAUUGUUGGCCCGAUUGGGCUGAGUCACAAUCGUGACCCGUGGGGAUCAAGUUGGGUUGAGUUACAAUCGAAAUCCGUGACCAUUAUAUCUGUACACUUUAAGUGAAUUAGUUGUUUUUUUAAUAGCUAAAGUUUUUUGGAAUUAAUAGUUAGCACCAAUGGCAUGCAUGACACGUAAUACGAAAAACAAAUGUAAUACUUUUUUGUUCAUUUUCUGGUCGCGCAUUAUUAUAUGCUUAAUAAUGUGUUAUAUUUUGUCAUUUUGGCUACAAGAGUGAAAAAUGAGCCGAACAUUUAUUCACAUAUACAACAAAUUAGUUGGUCCAAAAAAAAAAAAAAAAACUUGGCGAGAGAAAUGCCGUGCAACUUGAAUGCAGUUUAGUGCAGCAUGCAGCAGUAGGCAGUCCUAAAAGGUCACUUUCUCUGACUCGGAUUCAUCGAAACGGGAAGAAAUUUUUCAGUCCCCACACUCGCUACUUUAUUUGGAGAGCUGAGUAGCUGAGAUAUCCCUUGCGGAGGAUACUGCUGCUGAGUACCCUGGUGCCUGUGUCCAUCUCUUCUCCUUUCAGUACGCGGCUCAUUGAAUGUUAUGUAUGUUAGCUACCACCUCCCUCAAAACUAUACAUAACACCAAGAAAAAGGUUUUAUACCAAAUAACCGUUUAUUAUUAUUAUUUUUUUUAAAAAAAAUAAUUAAUAUAAAAUAACUAUUUAUUUUAAAAACUUAAAUUAUUAAAAAAUAGUGUAAAUGGAUUUGUAAGGCUCCUACUCCAAUAUCAUGUUAAGUUAUAAAAACAACCGUAUAUCUCAAACAUCUUAAGUUAUUAAAAAAAAUAAUAUUUUUAAUAUUUACAUUGAUAUGGACUGCCCAAGAAUAGAUGCAUCCAAGUAUCUGAAGUAUCAUAUCUUUUCUCAUCCCUGGCUUUUGGGCCCUGCAAGCUUAAGAUAAUAUGUAUACCAACUCAUUUGAAGCACAACAACAUCCUCUCCUUUUUCUUUUUAUUUUUUUAUUUUUUCUUUUUUAUUUUUAUCUUUAUUUUUUUGGAAAAAAGUCACGUUGACAAUGAGAUGAAAAUAGUUAAUAAUAAUAAUGAUAAAGGAAAUUAUUAGAUUGCAAUCAUGAAAUAAAAUUGUUGGGAAAGAUUUCUUUUUUGAUAAUAAUGCACCGUAAUUCAAAUUUACUAAACUUAGGUAUUCUAUCAAAAUUUAUUUGCUGAAAUGACCAUCCUGCCCAUCUUCUGUAAACUGCUAAUUCAUGAAGCGGCCAAGUGCAAAAGCUUCAUCUUUCUGCAGAGCCCAGCACCUGAAGCUGUAGAGAGAAUUCUGAAUAAAAAAAAAAACAAAAAACAAAAAAAGCAAGAAGUUCGGAAAAUGCUUCGCCAAAUGCGACUCUCCAACUUAAAACUGUAGGAGAGAAAAGAUGCCUAAAAGUUGCAUCUUUUUAGCUGAUGAAGCUCAUCUGGACGACGAAGCCAAGCGUAAAGCUUGGUCUAAUUAUGCGAAUCAUCAUUCUGUAGUUCUAAUCUCCAGAACAUCAUUAAAUUUUUCAAAUUAAAUUAGAGAGUGAUUCAACUGGACCAGUUUCUAACAUUGCAAACAAAAAGGGCACCCCGGUCAUGAUCGUAACAUCAUCAUCCAUGCCAAUGCAUGGGAUUGGGGACCAAUUAAUGCAUGCUAGAUUGUUAGAUGAUCAAUUUAUUGAUCAUAACAUCAUUCCAUACUAAUGGACCCAUCCAAGAAACUUUGUCUAAUUAGCUCUAUAUUUAUUCAUCAUGAGUUUUAUGCACCCACCAACAUGAAUGCCUUAUAUGGCCUACUUUGAUUAAUCGUCAGAUGAUCAAUUUAUUCGUCAAAGGUACUCAAAAGGCCCAGGUAAUUAAGAAAAUUCAUGACUCGCGGGCACUAAUUUAAUCGAACGAUGAUCUUUUCUAUACAUGCUCUCCAAGUUUAUAUUACAUUUAUCAGAUUAAAUUUUAAUUUUAUAAUAUUAAUCAUUUAUCAGAUUAAAUUUUAAUUUUAUAAUAUUAAUCAUCAAAUACUAAGCAGGACGCGUGAGUUGUAUGGAAACAAAGUGGAAGGGUGAUAUGAUAAACAGUUUGAUAACACUUUUUGCAUGAGAACGACAUAAAGAUAAAAGUUGGUAACCUGCUUGGCAACUCUUUUCUACAAGACUACAAACAGAGGAGAGAGUGAACACCACAAAACUGAUGAUUUUCAUUAAGGUUAAUAUUUAAUGAAAGAGCUAAUUAAGGAGUGUUUAAAUCACUGAACAAUUGAUUGCACUUAUAACUAAACAAUUAGUAAUAAACCUACUAUUAUAACUCACCGAGAAAAUUAGAAAGAGAAGCGACAAUGAUAAUGGCAAGGCAAAGCAUUACACAAAAGAUAUAAAUUAGAUCUGCCACUGAUUCGAUAAAAACUAACAUUAUGAAGGAAAAACAUCAAUCAAAAUAUGUUACUAAAGGGUGAAAUCUACCUCUAAAUCUCUAGUUUCAAUCCAGCAUAUUUUUCAACAAUCAAAAAGCCACAGCACAUUUUACAACUUACAUAACAGUAAGAAACACGAAGAAAGUUGAUGAAUAUUAACACACAUUACGCUCUUUCUUACAGGGUAGACAAUGAAGCAAUCCGGCGGGUGGGCUUAGAAGCCGAUCCCGGCGGCGCCGAUGGGCCGAUGCCGCUCCUUCCAGAAGCAGGCAUCAGGCGCGAGCCUUGCCGACGACCUCAUUGGCUCCGAUUUGCACCGCGUUAGUACGAACGGCCCGAACGGCGCCAUAGGCGGGGGCGCUGGCACCGCCAGCUUCAGCUUCUGCUCAACCGCCAAUGCGGUGGCUGCCACUGGGGGGUGCGGCAGUGGCGGCGGUUGAGGGGCCGAGACAGCAGGUUUGGUUUGGCCCUUAUCCUCACCGCCCUUGAGGUGGUCAUGUCCGCCGCUUAUCCGUUUAGGUUUGGGCUUGGCGGUGGGCUUGGUUUUGGGUUUGGGUUUGGGUUUGGGUUUGCCAACUGCGCCUUCCUUCGAGGGUUGGCCACCGCCGCCGGGCUGCUGACCGUAGUGCGGCGGCCGCCAUCUGAGGAAAUCGGUGCUGCAGACCCACGUCUCCUUCGACACCUCCAUCGAGAGCUUCGGCUCGUACAUCAUCAGCAGAAGGCACUCCGGCAAUACCCCUUUCUUCUCCCCUUCUUCCUCUUCUUCCUCUUCGUCCUCAUCCUCCUCCUCCACUUCCUCUACCUUCUCCUCUGUUUGCUCCUCUCCACCUCCUUCUUUUCCUUCAUUCUCCUCGCCCUCUCGCCUACCUUCUUCCCCCGCCGCCUGGGUUUCCUCUGUGUUCAUGUAAUCUUCAUUACCAGCCUCCGCUUUUGCCCCCUCCAGAUCCGAAGAGAACUUGCCUUCCUUCUUCAAUUCUUUCGAGGCCUUCUCCGCUUUCAAUCCCUCGCCCUCAAUGGAGAAGCUCCACCUCCGUCGCCCGGCUCUGUCCAGGGAGAAGCUGGAUCUCCGGGCCUCCCGUUCGUUGGAGAAGCUGGGCCGGCGGGCGUCCCUCUCGGUCGAGAAGCUGUGGCGCCUCUUGUCCCUCUCGCGCGACGACGAGGAGCCGCCGCGCCUGCGCACUCCGCACCGCCCCGUUCCCCUCUCUUCUCUGGUUGUAGAGGAGGAGGAGCAGCUGCUGGAUCUCCUGAAUUUCACCUCUUCCCCUUCUUUCUCCUUCUCCUCUACGGCUUUGAGCUCCAUUUCUACUGCUGCUUUGUUCUGCGACUCAGACUCAGCUUCGUCCUUCUGCCGCUCUUCUUCUUCUUCUUCUUCCUCUUCCUCUUUCUCAUCUCCUUCUCCGUGUGGGUUUGUGUGAGGUUUCGCGGCUUCAUCCAAAAUGCAAUCUUUUGGAGCCCUCUCUUCUUCUUCCUCGUCUUCUUCUUCACGCCCUGCUUGAUUCUCUUCUUCAUGUCUCUGCGUCUCCUCUAUCUUCUCCCCGCUUGCUCCUUCUGUUCAGCUCCUACAGCAAAAAGUGCUUCUUGAGAACUCUUUGCAGCUUCCCUCCCCACCAGAUCUGCUUCUACAGCGUCGGCUCCUCCGUCAUUCUCUUCCACACCAACUUCUACACAACCCUCUCCACCCAAUUCAUCUCUCUCUCCACUGUUCUCUUCUUCCUCCUCCUCCUCUUCUUCUUCAUCUUCCUCCUCUUCUUCUUCCUCCUCGUCUUCUCCCUCUUCUUCCUCUUGCACCUUCAUCGACGGAGAUCCCCAGAACCGAUUCGCCAACGCCGCCAUCCGAACCGGAUCGGAUCUACACCGCAUAAGCAACAGCGCAUUCCUCGGCGGCACGCACACACUCACCCUCGCCGCCUCCUCCUCCUCCCCCUCCUCCUCCUCCGCCAUGGAUGCGUCGGCGGAGGACCCCAGCAAGAAGAUCCGGAAACCCUACACCAUCACCAAGUCGCGGGAGAGCUGGACCGAGCCCGAGCACGACAAGUUCCUCGAAGCGCUUCAGCUGUAAGAUUUUAGGUCUAAUUUUAGUUUAUUCUUACUGAUUUUGGAGUCUAAUCGAUUUGGUUGCUAAUGAGUUUUGGUGAAGACCGCAGUUAAAAAUUGGAUUUUUAGGGCUCUUAUCAGUUCAGUUGUGUGAUUUUUCGCACGCGUUUCCUCUGUUUAGGGUUUAGUUGCUUGGUUAUUGACGUAGUUUAGUGGUGGUUUUUUAGCUUCUUAUAAGUUCGAAUUAUGUGAUUUUUUUUUCACAUUGAUUUUCUUUAUUAGUGUCAAAUUAUUUAGUUUUUGAGGGGUUUUGGUAGUGGAGUCGACUAAAAUUUCGAUAUUUUGGGGUUCUUACUAUGUAAAUUUUGGAGUAGGGGGUUCACCAAUGGUGAAGUUCUUUUUAUGCUUGUAAUAAAUUGCUAAUCUAGUCACUUUGUUUCAUCAGGAAUGGCUCGUCGACACAUUCAACUUUGUUUCAACUCAAAUUUUUAAGAAGCAAUUUGUAUAUGUCUAGUCCAUUUGGAAGAGAUUUCAUCUAAAAAUAGUGAUAAAUUAAACAAAGCAUUUCAACAUAAAGAUGUAGGAGAGGAAUAUAGUUCAUCCUUCAUAGUACUUUUAUCUCAAACAGUUUCCUCAAGCCCCUGAGCAUCUAAAAUUUACAACCUCAUAUUAAGACUAUAUCAAGUAAUUCUAUCAAAGCGACAUCAUUUAUAUAUCCGGUUCCACUCAUGACAAUAAGGUUCGAAAUAUGUAGCGGUGGUUCAAUAUGUUCUACGAGUACCGAACUGGUCCGACUUUAUGCUCACUCACGUAUUUGGUUCUUUGUUUUGGUUGCUACAGUUUUGAUCGCGACUGGAAAAAGAUAGGAGCAUUUAUUGGCUCAAAGUCUGUAAUACAGGUAAAAUUUAGUUUAAGCAUAAAUAUAUCGAUGUGGUAAAUUUAUCCUGUGUCUUGUAUUUUAGGGUCCUUUUGUCGGUCUGCUGUGCAAACAACUGUAUUUCUAGGAUCUCCCACAAUUGUAUUUACUCAUCUUUUGUGUUUUUUUUCUUUCUAUCUCUCUGUACCAAUUUGGGAACACUUGAUUAAUUUUAUCUGAGAAGUGGUGCAACACAAUUGUUAUUUGGGUUACUUCCCGUAUUACUAUUGUACCUGAUCUUUGUGUCAUGGACUAUGAUGGAGGAAAGAUGGAGUAAAAUAGUGAUAUAAACACUCAUCUGAGUUGAUAUGUGUGGCGAUAUACUUUUUCAUUGUGCUUGUUGCUUUGUGUUUUUUAUCUUCAGAAAUUAGUGAAUAGGAAUCUGUUUAAGAUCUACUUGAAUAAACUUUACAUCAAGAAACAACAGACAAUUCUUGAAGUUCCUGAACUGCAAUCGCUAAUAUGCAUAUGUAAAGCUUUUUAUAAUUAUAUAUUAGAAUAAUCUUCUUUUCGAUUUUUUGGCACAGAAUUUUAUAUCAUACUGUCUAUAUAUCAUCGAUGUGGAGAUUCAAAGUUUCUCAGUUUGUAUUAACUGUUAAUGAUCCCAUAAUGCAAAUCUAAGCACAAUGUUAAUCUUUUACAGAUCAGAAGCCAUGCACAAAAGUACUUUUUGAAGGUUCAAAAGAAUGGCACGAGUGAACAUUUGCCGCCUCCCCGGCCAAAGCGGAAAGCAUCACAUCCUUAUCCGCAGAAAGCCUCCAAAAAUGGUUUGAAAAUUUCCAAUAAAUAUUAUUCAUCAUUUUUAGUACAACUAAUAAUACAAAUCUUCUAAAAGAAAAUGCAGCUCCCCAAAUUUCUCAAACUACUGUACCACCUCGUGCUGCUGUUCUCUCUUCGGAUUCAUCUUCUAUUGUUAGGAAUUCAAACACGAACAUUCCAGCCUCUUCUUGCGCUAAUACUUCUGUUCAGCCUGCCAGUGCGACUCAUGUGGCAAAAGGUUUAGUCCCAGUGCAUAAUAAUCUCAAAUGUUUUUNGAUAUGAAAACUAAAAGAAAGAAAGAAAUUUCAUCUUGAAUGAAAUCGAUCAUUUGAAUUAGCUUUGGAAAUCUGAAGCAACUUUUAUGAAGCUCACAACAUAAUUCCAAGUGUAAAUGAUCGACUUCUAACUAGAACUCUCUUUGGAGAUUGUAAAAGCUUUAUGUUGAAAGUUUUGCUUAUGAGAUCAAAAUAAUGCUUCUUCUUUUUUACUUCCAAGCACUAGAUGUUUUACAUUUGUCUACUUAGUGAACGCUUCAUUUCACUUCUAUAGUUUAGAAAAUAUAUAAAUAUGUUGGCUUCUGAUUCAACUAUGGAAAAUAGAUUGCAAUAAAAGACAGAAAAAGUAAUGCAAAAUUCUAUUUAAUUAUCAUGUUUGGUCCAAAUUAAGGUUCUAAAGGAAUUCAAAAUUCACAACUUCGUUAUGUGGUGAGAUAGAUCAACAAACUAGAUACCUAAUUGUGUACUUUAGAAACUUUUAUUAGGUUAUGAGAGAGAGAGAGAGAGAGAGAGAGAGAGAGAGGAGGGAAACUCUACAAUUUAAAUAAAAAAUGCUAACAUAGGUAAUCUUGCUUUCAUGAUAAUUCAGAAGUUCAAAGGGUUCACCGUGGUGGAUUAUGUGAAGCUACGUCCCGAGUUAAAAUUACAAUGAAUAUGUUGAGAUUUUAUGGUUACUGGAUGUCAAGUUUCGGAACUCCAUCUAGCAUCGAUGCUCAACUUGAAGUUCCUCAAAACUCAAAACUAUUUUUAGCUAAGCUGGCAGAUGAGUAUCGGUACUCAUUUGUGAGUACCGGUACAUAUGCUAGAGUGUCACAAUUUUUGAAACUUUUGUUUUUGAUACCGGUACUUUAAAUCGUAGCAGAUAAAUUAAGUUAGAUUUGACUCCAACUUGAUCCAUUCUUGUGCUCUAGAGAGAGAGUAAAAUGAGAGAAAGAGAGUCCAGAGAGAGAUUCUUGUAAUCCAAUCUAUUCAUUUUAUUUGUUGUAUCAUAAAAUAAUAAAAGAACGCAUUAAGAAAGUUUUGCCUAUGAAUGUAGGUUGACUUACUAUUGGCUGAACCACGUAAAUAUUUUGUAUUUGCUAUUUUUAUUAUUUUCUUCAUCUGUGUGCUUGCUUUCUACAAAUUGUUCUCACCUAAUUUUUUUUUAUAUAGAUCCAAUUUUUAUUGUGCUUGUGUGCCGUAUGGAUUUGAGGUGUGCUCGAUAACCAAUCAGAUGAUUCCUUCACACCAAGACAAAACUGCCAGCUAUUUGAGUGAGAAAAGAUGGUUCAAAAACUUAUUUCAACUUUUUUCUAGAGAAAAAAUUAUGUCCUCUUUGCAUGCCAAAAGUUGUUGCUUCUUAGUGUAAAGAGGAUAUUUUAGACUCCAUGUCAUUCACUGAAGAAGUGUCACUUGAACGGAGAGUUAAAGUUCAUUGCGAAGUUUCUCAAACUUAUCGUAAAGGCAAAAUCUAACUUCUUGCACCCUAAGAAACGUUUAAGAUGAACUAGAUGGUUGGAAGCGCUUUUCAUAUAAUUAAAGUAAUAUAAAGUGAAAAGUUAUAUAGUUAAAUUAAGGGUAAACUUUGAAUUUCCUCCUUGUGGUUUCAGACUUUCUCAUUUUAGUAUUCUAUGGUUUAAAGUGUAUCAAGUUUGUCCCAGUGAUUUCGCACUUUCUCACUAUAGUCCAUGUGGUUUAAAGUUUAUCAAGUUAGUAACCAUAUGGUUUCAUUUUUCUCUUUUUAUUAUUUAUUUCACUAAUUUUUUUCGUUAAAUCAGUGACAAAGUUAAAAUUAAAGGGUACUAAAGUGAAUAUUUGAUAAACCUAGAUAGGGUAUCUGAAGCUUUUUGUAUAUAAUUUAACGAAAUAUUAACAAAGGAACCGACGAAAAGUGAAAAAUGAAACCACAGGGUAAUAAAUUGAUACACUUUAAACCAUAGAAUACUAAAAUAAGAAAGUGUGAAACCACAAUAUACUAAAUUGAUACAAUUUAAACCACAGGGUACUAAAGUUAAAAAGUGCGAAACCACACGGGUGGUAUUUGAAGCUUUCCCUUAAAUUAAAAUUUCU